rnacentral:rRNA from 1 species
AUUGAACGCUGGCGGAAUGCUUUACACAUGCAAGUCGAGCGGCAGCGCGGGGCAACCUGGCGGCGAGCGGCGAACGGGUGAGUAACACAUCGGAACGUACCCUGUCGUGGGGGAUAACGAAUCGAAAGAUUCGCUAAUACCGCAUAAGACCUGAGGGUGAAAGCGGGGGAUCGCAAGACCUCGCGCGAUUGGAGCGGCCGAUGUCGGAUUAGCUAGUUGGGAGGGUAAAGGCCUACCAAGGCGACGAUCCGUAGCUGGUCUGAGAGGACGACCAGCCACACUGGGACUGAGACACGGCCCAGACUCCUACGGGAGGCAGCAGUGGGGAAUUUUGGACAAUGGGGGCAACCCUGAUCCAGCCAUUCCGCGUGAGUGAAGAAGGCCUUCGGGUUGUAAAGCUCUUUCGGCAGGAACGAAACGGUGGGGGCUAAUACCCCUUGCUAAUGACGGUACCUGAAGAAGAAGCACCGGCUAACUACGUGCCAGCCGCCGUAGUAACAC